GUUCCAAGUAUUACACCCUGACCGUGGCCGUGAAUUGCAAUCUCUCAUCAGCUUCCUAGCUCUGCGCAGUGCACCAACACGUGACUACUCGCCUAGCAUGCUGGGUACUCAUGCAUGCUGGGUAAUGCAGUUCUAUAUAACUAACAUCGAUACGCUACAAGUGAUAUUCAUGUACUGUGCCAGUCGUGUUCAGUGAUUUUGUGUGUUUGCCAGUCUGAUAAUUUAUUGUCUUAUUAUAGGUGACAAUGUACUGCCCAUUUUGCGCAUCUGCAGUGGUGUCCCAAGGAAGGACAUUCUGUAGUUCAUGUGGGAAAAAUAUCAGCUUCCUAUACAGUGUUGAUACAACUCAACAAGCCACAACAACAAGUGAAGCCGAAAGCAGUGGGACAGAUGCUCUAGCUACGUUCCAGAAUUUCCGAUCCAUCAAGGACAUGGAAAGGCGAUCUUGUUUCAAAAAGAAAAAAAACUUAAAACAAAAAUAUGUUAAGAUGUUAAUUGGAUUAAUGACAAGGAAGGACAGCAUUCUGAAACCAGUCCGAGGAUCAUGUCUACCCCUGGUAGUAGAGCCAGAAUCCAAUGCUAAACAACUCCAGAAAGCGGCAGAACAAAAAAUGAGAAACUUUAACCAAAAUUUAAAUGGUGGUCCUUACACUCUGCUGUACCCCGAUGGUACAGAGGUAAAAAAUAUACCUGGGACCCAAACAUCCUUCUCGCUACAACUGUAUAAGGAGGCAAUAGGGAAGGCUUAUCAAAGGAUUACACUUUAUCUUUGUACAGUUGAAGACUUUGUCACUCAAACAGAGGAACAUGUCACUUCUGACUCGAGUGACUCAGAGGUGAUCGCUAUCAGUGGAGUUACAGCACAGUCAAAUGCAACGUACACAUUACCAAGUGUAAUGGAUACCAUUUCCUUCUUUCCUAUUUGUCUGUCUGUUUUAUCAUGUGCAUAUGAAUGUAUAUGCAUACAAGCUUCCACUCACAGUCCAGUUUUUUAUAUA